GAUGAACGCUGGCGGCGUGCCUAAUACAUGCAAGUCGAGCGAACAGACGAGGAGCUUGCUCCUCUGACGUUAGCGGCGGACGGGUGAGUAACACGUGGAUAACCUACCUAUAAGACUGGGAUAACUUCGGGAAACCGGAGCUAAUACCGGAUAACAUGUUGAACCGCAUGGUUCAACAGUGAAAGACGGUCUUGCUGUCACUUAUAGAUGGAUCCGCGCCGCAUUAGCUAGUUGGUAAGGUAACGGCUUACCAAGGCAACGAUGCGUAGCCGACCUGAGAGGGUGAUCGGCCACACUGGAACUGAGACACGGUCCAGACUCCUACGGGAGGCAGCAGUAGGGAAUCUUCCGCAAUGGGCGAAAGCCUGACGGAGCAACGCCGCGUGAGUGAAGAAGGUCUUCGGAUCGUAAAACUCUGUUAUUAGGGAAGAACAAAUGUGUAAGUAACUAUGCACGUCUUGACUGUACCUAAUCAGAAAGCCACGGCUAACUACGUG
rnacentral:rRNA from 1 species